rnacentral:lncRNA from 1 species
UUUUGGAUGCACAACAGCUGAAGAUUGUGCCUGGAUUCCCCUUUGCAAGCAUUCUGGAGUCACAACAUCGGCAUAGAAGGUGGCCAGCCUUCGGCUUUUGCAGUCGUUUGUGGAGUCUUUAUGGAAGAGCAGCGUGGUCAAGAGACCACGGCUGCGUAACCCCGUCUGCAGUAUGUGAGGCCGGAGUGCUGACCCUGGACCUGCCCAGUCAUGCCUUCUCGGUCAGCUGUUCAUCUCAUCUGCUACCACGGGAAAAGAAAUGCCCUGAAGACUGCUGGCCGUGUGUUCAGUGAUUCUCACAGAGCACAGAAAAUGAAACAUCAGAGAAACUGCCCUUAGGCGGGGCUGGCAAAUAUCUCCCCUACUGGGCGCAGGGCAGACUUCACCUCAAGGUCUUCCUCCACACACAUUCCACAGCCCAGCCAGUCCUCCAGGGCGGAACUCAAGAUAAAUCUAUUCACCAUCUCUGUUCUCUUGGGAGUGGGGGAGGAUACGAAGCUGAGGUCUAGCAUCCGGGCCAGGGCUUUCUCGGCCACGGCUCCUGGCCUGGGUGAUGGUGGGAGGGAGGAAUGUGAUGAUCAACACUCCAGUUUCUUGUCCAAGGCUGCCUGUGGCCGAUGUGCUGCCUAUUUGGGGAGAAAAGAGAAACACGUAGGCUUGUCUCGGGUGUUCCUAGAGGAUGUGGGAUGGCCACCCAUGGCAGAAAACUAACUUGGUUCACUAGAGUGUGUGACAUCGGGACCUGAGAUCCAACUUACCAAGUGCUAUCUACGUGACUUCACCCCUCAGUGUAUUCAUCUAUGAAAUGGGGAUAAUACUAGCACUGGAGGAUAAAUAAAUCGAUCAACAUGUGUAAAGUGCUUAGAAGGUGCCUGCCAUGCAGGAAGCAAGCACUGGGCACUAGCUAUCGCUAUCAUUUCUGCUGUCCUCGAUGAGUGCAACUAGUUGCUGAGCUGGGGUAGCUGAAAGUGACUGGUAGUAGAGGGGGUGAGAACAGGUAAAAGGCCACGACGCAGAGAAGCCAGAGGCCAUGCAGGUUGAACUCCAACAGGAGCAGUGGCUGUAGGGGAGAGGCUUGACCCUGGAGCUGGUCAUGAUGUGCAGGUGGGAUGGGCUGGGGGCUCCCGUGUGAGAGCACAGGAGGAGAGGCUGUGUUUCCCAAGCCUGCAAAGGGCUAGAGUGAAAAGAGACCUAGGUAUGACUAACAAGGCCUGGCAACUUGGCGUUCUCCACAUAUGUAAUUCUUCCUAUCAAAGCAGGUUCCCAAACCCUGGUUUCUUCCUGCCUCUCAGCUUAACAUUAUCAUUGCUCCUUCAUCCAUCAGAGAGCCCGGAGUCUCAUCUUUCAGUGACUUAUCAAGGCUAGACUAUUCCUCAGAAUCUCCACUGUGAAUCAGAAUACUGUUAAGAUAAACGUUAAUGCUUAAGUCAAAAAUAUUGGACUCAAAGAAGGAGUCAACAUGGUAAGAGGCCCUUCUGGCGCAUCAUCCCAGAAACUUCGUCUGACACCCUCCACCACGGGUCCUCCACACGGGAGGGGAUGCCUGGACAGUUGUGCACACAGAAACAACAUUUGUUCUCACUGGUUUGCUCUGCAGUCCCAGAAGCCCACCAAACAGAGUGGGAAAAAAAGACAUCUUGGGGCAAAAGACAAAGUGUGAUUCGAUACACUGAUCUCAUGUAAGCAUAGUUCUAAUUAGCUAAAUCAUUCCUUCAGCAAUAGUAAAGAGAGACUGCAACAGAUCUGAUACUCCAAUAGGCUUUGUCCAAUCUGGCAGAGUGGAUUCUUUAUCUGAAAUCAUCCACAACAACCACUUUCAGAAUGGGGCCAAUUUUCAGACCUAAAUUACCUCUGGCUCCACAGUAGCAUCUGCCCAUGAAAUCAGUUUCUACCAAAAGCUUAAACUCUCCAGCAGCAAUUAUCUGGAACAGCCUCAAAACUGCAUUUUUGCCAUUUGAGACUGUUUUCCACAAUUGCCAGCCAUCUUGCCUGUUAGCAUGCCUGUGGGAAGGACGGGCUGGUACUUACGGCAUUGAUUCCCUAUUUGAAGUUGUUGUCCUUGAAUCCUUUAUGACCAUCAGACAUAACACCCAGUGAAAAUGACGCCACCUGCAUUUAGAAUUAUUCAAAACCUGCCACCUCACAGAGGAAAAUUCAGCCCACCCUCAGGGAUGCAGGUCUUGACUCUGUUCUGGCUGAACUGUUAACAAUUCUCCUUUGCAAACUCCCAGAAGGAGACUUGAUGAUCUCUCCCACAUAGCACUUAAUGGGGAAGCAAAAACGAUUUUCAACUGAGGGAAUGUUUUUGCAAAGUGGAAAUCAAAUCCAUUUGUUAAUCUUCAAAAACUCUGGGCUGUGCAGAUUCUCAGGAAGACACUAAGCAUAUGGAUCACAACAGCGAUGGACCCUCAGCAAAUGGAGCCUGACAACUCCAGAACCAAGCACUUGCCUGGGGGAACCCCUCCCAGCAAACACUUCUCAAAUGGCAAACCUGGGUCCUGUUAGCUAUGCUGGCUGUG